rnacentral:rRNA from 1 species
UGGGGAAUAUUGGACAAUGGGCGAAAGCCUGAUCCAGCCAUGCCGCGUGAGUGAUGAAGGCCUUAGGGUUGUAAAGCUCUUUUAGUCGGAAAGAAAGAGUUGCAAUGAAUAAUUGUGAUUUAUGACGGUACCGACAGAAAAAGCACCGGCUAACUACGUGCCAGCAGCCGCGGUAAUACGUAGGGUGCGAGCGUUAAUCGGAAUUACUGGGCGUAAAGGGUGCGCAGGCGGUCUUGCAAGUCAGAUGUGAAAGCCCCGGGCUUAACCUUGGAAUUGCGUUUGAAACUACAAGGCUAGAGUGCAGCAGAGGGGAGUGGAAUUCCAUGUGUAGCAGUGAAAUGCGUAGAGAUGUGGAAGAACACCGAUGGCGAAGGCAGCUCCCUGGGUUGACACUGACGCUCAUGCACGAAAGCGUGGGGAGCAAACA